UACGAAGGGGGCUAGCGUUGUUCGGAAUCACUGGGCGUAAAGGGCGCGUAGGCGGCUUGAUAAGUCGGGGGGUGAAAGCCUGUGGCUCAACCACAGAAUUGCCUUCGAUACUGUCGAGCUUGAGACCGGAAGAGGUAAGUGGAAUUGCGAGUGUAGAGGUGAAAUUCGUAGAUAUUCGCAAGAACACCAGUGGCGAAGGCGGCUUACUGGUCCGGUUCUGACGCUGAGGCGCGAAAGCGUGGGGAGCAAACAGG
rnacentral:rRNA from 1 species